rnacentral:rRNA from 1 species
UACGGAGGGAGCUAGCGUUGUUCGGAAUUACUGGGCGUAAAGCGCGCGUAGGCGGCUUUGUAAGUUAGAGGUGAAAGCCCGGAGCUCAACUCCGGAACUGCCUUUAAAACUGCAUCGCUUGAAUCCAGGAGAGGUGAGUGGAAUUCCGAGUGUAGAGGUGAAAUUCGUAGAUAUUCGGAAGAACACCAGUGGCGAAGGCGGCUCACUGGACGGAUACUGACGCUGAGACGCGAAAGCGUGGGGAGCAAACAGG